rnacentral:rRNA from 1 species
AUUGAACGCUGGCGGCAUGCUUUACACAUGCAAGUCGAACGGCAGCGCGGGCUUCGGCCUGGCGGCGAGUGGCGAACGGGUGAGUAAUGCAUCGGAACGUGCCCAGUAGUGGGGGAUAGCCCGGCGAAAGCCGGAUUAAUACCGCAUACGACCUGAGGGUGAAAGCGGGGGACCGAAAGGCCUCGCGCUAUUGGAGCGGCCGAUGUCGGAUUAGCUAGCUGGUGGGGUAAAGGCUUACCAAGGCGACGAUCCGUAGCUGGUCUGAGAGGACGACCAGCCACACUGGGACUGAGACACGGCCCAGACUCCUACGGGAGGCAGCAGUGGGGAAUUUUGGACAAUGGGGGCAACCCCGAUCCAGCCAUGCCGCGUGCGGGAAGAAGGCCUUCGGGUUGUAAACCGCUUUUGUUCGGGAAGAAAUCCUCUGGGCUAAUACCCCGGGGGGAUGACGGUACCGGAAGAAUAAGCACCGGCUAACUACGUG